CGCUGUGCACGCCCGUCGAGGCGGUGCAUACGGCCUCAAUGCGGCUGCGGGCUGGCAGGCCGUUGCCACAUGGAAUUUUUGGACUGUCAGAUUUUCGGAGCCCCACGCGAUGUCGGGACCAGCUCCGCACAACUCCAUACGGCUCCGGCGAUCGAAGUGGGACCGGCCCCGCGAGGCCGUACGGCUCAAGCGACCACGUUAGUUCCCGAUUGCCGCUUGCAGUCGCAUGCUUGUGGACUGGCCCUUUAAAGAUAGCGAAGUCAGGGAAUAUGGUGAGAAGGCAGGAACAGGAUACUGAUUGUGGAAGAUCAGCCAUGAUCAUGUUGAAUGGUGGUGCUGCCUCGAAGGGCCGAAUGGCCUACUCCUGCGUCUGUUGUCUAGUAUCUAUUGGAGUCACAUAUGAUCUAAACCAGGUAAGAUCGCCUCUAAAGAGCUACUGGUGAAUCAGAUUGUUUAAUGACAAACUGAACGAUUAGUGGUCAUCAUUACAAAGAUUAGCUUUUUAUGUUUUAAACUGAAUUAGCAGAAUUCAAUUUCUACAUCCACUUCAGAGUUUACCAGUGGCUUUAAACUAGUUGGGAUGUGAAGUAAGGAGGAUAUGGAGAGGCUUCAAGGUGAUUUAGACAGAUUGAGCAAGUUGGUAACAUCAUGGCAAAUGCUGUAUAACAUGAAUGCAGGUGAGCGUUCAUUUGAGAAGUUUCGAUAUCCAAAUAAGAAUUCUGGUGUUCUUGUACACCAGUGAACUAAAGCAAAAUCCUGGUUGCAGGAAGCCAUACCUGGGCUGGGUAGAUCAAGAAGGCACAGUCUGAGGUUAUAGGGGUGAGCUGAGGAGAAACAAAUCUGAUCGGGGGUGGUGAACCUGUGGCAUUCACUAUCACAGAGGGUUUUUUUAUGAAAUAUACCCAAGUAGUUUAGCUAGAGAAGAUAGACAAGCUUCUGGAUUCUGUAAGUGGCAUCAAAGGGAAUGAGGAGAAAGCAGGAAUGGGUAUUGAAGUGGAUGGUCAGCUAUGACCAUUUUAGUGUGAGGUCAUAACAUGCUUUUCUCCCCAAUAGGAAGAAGAGAAUGUUUUGGUUUUGCCUGCAUGUGCAAUGGAAGACAGCAUCCGGAUUGUUUCAUUUUGAGAAAUGACCAGUAACCCUACAGGCUUUCAGCCACAGCAUAGUUUGCAGCUUCCAUUCCUCCAAGUCUUAAAGUUGUGGGUUCAACCCUGGCUCUAGAAACAAGUACCAACAGUUCCAUACUGACAUUCCAGGCAUAGGUGUGGAGUACUGCAUUAUUAAUGGUGCCUUCUAUCAGAUGACCCAUUAAACAACUACAGUUCCCAACUACACUCUCAAAGGUGCUUGAAUACCUCUUGAGGUAAUGUUAAAGUGUGGCAGAUGCUGCCUGGCCAGCAGAAUAGUACGUCACCAUUCCAGAUUUCCAGCAGGCACAGUAUUUUUCAUUUGUUUUCUGAGGGAGAAGAUGUCGCCAUUCACGUCAGCCUAACGGAUACAAGUCAGUGAGACUUCC